UCAAGUUAUUAAGGGUGCAGGGCGGAUGCCUUGGCACUAGGAGCCGAUGAAGGACGUGAUAAGCUGCGAUAAGCUUCGGGGAGUUGCACGUAAACUUUGAUCCGAAGAUUUCCGAAUGAGGAAACUCACUUAGAGUAAUGUCUAAGUAUCGUUAAGUGAAUACAUAGCUUAGCGAGGGGAACCCGGGGAACUGAAACAUCUAAGUACCCGGAGGAAGAGAAAGAAAUUCGAUUCCGUAAGUAGCGGCGAGCGAACGCGGAACAGGCCAAACCAGUGAAGUUUUCUUCGCUGGGGUUGCGGACAUAUCAUAACGAAGAGGUAUCGUAGAAGAAGAGAGUUGGAAAGCUCCGCCAUAGAUGGUAACAGCCCAGUAUUUUAAACGAGAAGACUUUAGAUAUGAUCCAGAGUACCACGGGACACGUGAAACCCUGUGGGAAGCAGGAGGGACCAUCCUCCAAGCCUAAAUACUACCUAGUGACCGAUAGCGCAUAGUACCGUGAGGGAAAGGUGAAAAGAACCCCGGGAGGGGAGUGAAAAAGAACCUGAAACCCUGUGUUUACAAGCAGUGAAAGUGCAAGCAAGGCACGAUCACGUACUUUUUGUAGAACGGACCGGCGAGUUACGUUAUGCAGCAAGGUUAAGAACUGAAGGUUCGGAGCCGAAGCGAAAGCGAGUCUGAAUAGGGCGAAAGUUGCAUGACGUAGACCCGAAACCGGGUGACCUAUCCAUGAGCAGGUUGAAGUGGAGGUAAAGCUCCAUGGAGGACCGAACCAGACGUCUGUUGAAAAAGGCGGGGAUGACUUGUGGAUAGGGGAGAAAUUCCAAUCGAACCCGGAGAUAGCUGGUUCUCCUCGAAAUAGCUUUAGGGCUAGCCUCAUGGAUCAUUGAUGGGGGUAGAGCACUGAAUGUGCGCGGGGGCCACAAAGCCUACCAAACGCUAUCAAACUUCGAAUACCAUACAAUGCAGACCAUGGGAGUCAGUCCGCGAGAGAUAAGUUCCGCGGGCAAAAGGGGAACACCCCAGAUCAACCGCUAAGGUCCCCAAGUUCACGUUAAGUGGAGAAGGAUGUGGAAUUGCACAGACAACCAGGAUGUUGGCUCAGAAGCAGCCACACAUUUAAAGAGUGCGUAAUAGCUCACUGGUCGAGUGAUUGUGCGCCGAAGAUGUCCGGGGCUAAACGUGACACCGAAGCGAUGGGUGCAUCUGAAGAAGAUGCGCGGUAGAGGAGCAAUGUGCAGAGGCAGAAGCCGUAUCGAGAGGCACGGUGGACACUGCACAAGAGAGAAUGCCGGUAUGAGUAGCGAGAGGCAUGCGAGAAACAUGCCCGUCGAAAGCCCAAGGUUUCCUGGGGAAGGUUCAUCCGCCCAGGGUAAGUCGGGGCCUAAGCCGAGGACGGAAGUCGUAGGCGAUGGACAGCAGGUGUAGAUUCCUGCACUACCGAUGGAAUGAAGCAGUGACACAGAAGGAUAACUCGAGCAGGGUGAUGGUCAACCCUGUGCAAGCAUCAAGGUUGGGUUGUAGUGAAGUACGCAAUCCUAUAAGCUGAGAUGUGAUGCGGACCGAAAUUUCAGUAGGGAAGCGAGUGCGUUCACGCUGGCGAGAAAAGCUGCUAGUACAUCCAAAGGUACCCGUACCGGAAACCGACGCAGGUGGGCGAGGAGAGAAUCCUGAGACGAACGGGAGAACCCUUGUUAAGGAACUCGGCAAAAUGACCCCGUAACUUCGGGAUAAGGGGUGCCUGCGAGAGCAGGCCGCAGAGAAUAGUCACAAGCGACUGUUUAGCAAAAACACAGGUAUCUGCGAAAGCGAGAGCUGACGUAUAGGUGCUGACACCUGCCCGGUGCUGGAAGGUUAAGGGAACAUGUUAGAGCAAUCGAAGCAUCGAACCGAAGCCCCAGUAAACGGCGGCCGUAACUAUAACGGUCCUAAGGUAGCGAAAUUCCUUGUCGGGUAAGUUCCGACCCGCACGAAUGGUGUAACGACUUGUGAGCUGUCUCAACAGGGGGCCCGGUGAAAUUGAAGUAUGGGUGAAGAUGCCCAUUACCCGCGACUGGACGGAGAGACCCCGUAGAGCUUUACUGCAGCCUGAUAUUGAGUUUCGGUAACUGAUGCACAGGAUAGGUGGGAGUCUGAGAGACAUGGGUUUCGGCUCGUGUGCUACUGAUAAUCGUCAGAUUAACUUCUCUGCAAAGGGAACCGGUAAAUAUCGUGCCGCUGCCAAUGGCGACCCGACAAAUCUGGAACAAUUUCAUCUUCCGAAGAUGCAUGCUUUCAACGGAAUGUUGACAGCUAUCAUACAAGCUGGUGAAACUGCCGGAGAAAUUGUAUUUACAGCCAAAGCAAAUGGAGUGAAAGCCGGAAAUAUUCGUAUUCAAACGAAAUAAGGUAUACGCUUUAUAAUAUCUGAUAAGCCACCGGAUUUCUUAACUAAAGAGAAGUCCGGUGGCUUUCAUAUAUAAUAUACUGGAUUUUUCACUUUUACGAGAAAAGAAGCAGGUAAAUACAGGUUAAUAUCUAUCUUUGCCAAAGAAAACGUUACAGAUAUGUCGCACAGGAUUCACUUCCUUAUUUUUACAGGUCUUUUACUGAUGUUCUGUUCAUGCCGGAAAGAAAACUGGUUUGAAUGGCAAGUAAAUCAAAGACACAUGGAAGUAUCUCUGAACAAAGAAUCUGAUUCGCUCUAUGUCAUUCAUUUGAAUACAGACCAACCCUCCCACUCUGUUUGGAAAUUGCCUUAUCCUGUCUAUCAAUUUGAUUAUGGAGAUGUUACAGGAGACGGGAUGCCGGAAAUUAUUGUGGGGGUUAUCAAGCCUACCCGAUUCGAUCCCAAACCU
rnacentral:rRNA from 1 species